rnacentral:rRNA from 1 species
UAGGGAAUCUUCGGCAAUGGACGAAAGUCUGACCGAGCAACGCCGCGUGAGUGAAGAAGGUCUUCGGAUCGUAAAACUCUGUUGUUAGAGAAGAACAAUGACGUUAGUAACUGAACGUCCCCUGACGGUAUCUAACCAGAAAGCCACGGCUAACUACGUGCCAGCAGCCGCGGUAAUACGUAGGUGGCAAGCGUUGUCCGGAUUUAUUGGGCGUAAAGCGAGCGCAGGCGGUUUCUUAAGUCUGAUGAGAAAGCCCACGGCUCAACCGGGGAGGGUCAUUGGAAACUGGGGGACUUGAGUGCAGAAGAGGGGAGUAGAAUUCCAUGUGUAGCGGUGAAAUGCGUAGAUAUAUGGAGGAACACCAGUGGCGAAGGCGGCUCUCUGGUCUGUAACUGACGCUGAGGCUCGAAAGCGUGGGGGGCAAACAGG